rnacentral:rRNA from 1 species
ACGCUGGCGGCAGGCUUAACACAUGCAAGUCGAACGGUAACAUAAAGAAGCUUGCUUCUUUGAUGACGAGUGGCGGACGGGUGAGUAAUGCUUGGGAAUCUAGCUUAUGGAGGGGGAUAACUACGGGAAACUGUAGCUAAUACCGCGUAGUAUCGAGAGAUGAAAGUGUGGGACCUUCGGGCCACAUGCCAUAGGAUGAGCCCAAGUGGGAUUAGGUAGUUGGUGAGGUAAAGGCUCACCAAGCCGACGAUCUCUAGCUGGUCUGAGAGGAUGACCAGCCACACUGGGACUGAGACACGGCCCAGACUCCUACAGGAGGCAGCAGUGGGGAAUAUUGCGCAAUGGGGGCAACCCUGACGCAGCCAUGCCGCGUGAAUGAAGAAGGCCUUCGGGUUGUAAAGUUCUUUCGGUAGCGAGGAAGGCAUUUAGUUUAAUAGACUAGGUGAUUGACGUUAACUACAGAAGAAGCACCGGCUAACUCCGUGCCAGCAGCCGCGGUAAUACGGAGGGUGCGAGCGUUAAUCGGAAUAACUGGGCGUAAAGGGCACGCAGGCGGUGACUUAAGUGAGGUGUGAAAGCCCCGGGCUUAACCUGGGAAUUGCAUUUCAUACUGGGUCGCUAGAGUACUUUAGGGAGGGGUAGAAUUCCACGUGUAGCGGUGAAAUGCGUAGAGAUGUGGAGGAAUACCGAAGGCGAAGGCAGCCCCUUGGGAAUGUACUGACGCUCAUGUGCGAAAGCGUGGGGAGCAAACAGGAUUAGAUACCCUGGUAGUCCACGCUGUAAACGAUGUCGAUUUGGGGGUUGAACUUUGAGUUUGGCCGCCCGUAGCUAACGUGAUAAAUCGACCGCCUGGGGAGUACGGCCGCAAGGUUAAAACUCAAAUGAAUUGACGGGGGCCCGCACAAGCGGUG